rnacentral:rRNA from 1 species
CCCUUAGAUGUCCGGGGCCGCACGCGCGCUACACUGAAGGAAUCAGCGUGGCUUUCUCCCUGACCCGAAAGGGUUGGGAAACCCGUUGAAUCUCCUUCGUGAUAGGGAUUGGGGCUUGAAAUUGUUCCCCAUGAACGAGGAAUUCCCAGUGAGCGCGAGUCAUAAGCUCGCGUUGAUUACGUCCCUGCCCUUUGUACACACCGCCCGUCGCUACUACCGAUUGAACGGUUUAGUGAGGGCCUCGGAUUGGUCUCGGCCCGCUCUUUACCGGGCGGCGCCGUUGGUCGAGAAGACGCUCGAACUUGAUCGUUUAGAGGAAGUAAAAGUCGUAACA